ACAUGGCCACAGUUGCCUGGCAGCCUUGAAAGACAUUCUAUGGCCCUUAUCUCUCAAAAGCAUGCACUUCCUCUCAAAUAAAUAAAAUCUUAAAGAAAAAAAAAAUUAGAAAUGGAGAUCUAUGAACUGUCUGACAAAUAAUGAAGAAUAAUUCUCUUACAGAAGGUCAGCCCGCAGACUGCAAGAACAUGCAGACACCCAAGCAAACUUAGGAAAACAAUGCAUGCACAAAACGAGAAACUCAGCAAAGAACUAGAAACCAUUAAAAAGACACACACAAGCAGCAAUCCUAGAAUUGAAGAACGCAGUGACCGCAAUGAAGAAUUUAAUAGUGAGGCUGAGCUGGAGGCUGGUUAGAAAGGGCCUUCUCUGGGUCACCUCUGUGCUCCUCAGGGUUCUUGGCAAGAGGCGUGGUGUUUGCUUGGCCAGGUCCUCACCUGCGAUUCCAGGGCCACGCUCUGCGGCCGAGCCUUCCCAGCUCCCACCCUGGGCCUGCUGCCUCCUCUCUCAUUCCUGAAGGCAGUGGGGGAGGGGAGCGCGCAGGUGCUCGAGGAGCGCGCCUUCGCUGCAGAUGCGCUGGGAUCCACCUUUACUCAUCGUGGGUGACAGCCGUCAGGGUUUGGUUCAGCCUCACACCAUCAGCUCAGAAGAUGAGUCCAGAGCAGGUCAUCUGUUUCUCGAAUAAAUUCUUGGUCCGUGGAUGCCAUUUGGAUUUUCCACAGGAUUCUUCUCUGCAUUCCGAGUGGGCGCAGGAAAAUCCUUUCUGUUCACUCCUCAGCGUUAUCUUCCUCCUGGGAGGCUGGGCACCUGCAUAAAGAAGAUGGCGAAAACCGACGAGGCGCUGGGACCCCAGCAGAGGUUUGCAAAACAGCGGGCCCUGCUCGCUGGGCGGGGCCCGACCGCGCCUCCUCCCUCCGCGGUGGCUCCCGGAGCUGCAGUUCCUCUUGCAGCCCAGCAGGUGGCGCGCCGAGCACCAACGCCGGAGCCCAGGCCCCCCCACCUCUUGAAAGCACCCCGCCCAGCCCCACUGGCUAGAGUUUUGAUUGAUUUUUCCAUCUCUUGGAGCACUGACUGUUUACACACACUUUCCUUCUUUCUUUCUUUUUAAGAUUUUAUUUAUUUAUUCAUGAAAGACACAGAGGCAGAGGGAGAAGCAGGCUCCACGCAGGGAGCCCGAUGCGGGGCUCGAUCUCCCAACCCCGGAAUCAAGACCUGAACUGAGAUCGAGUGGGAUGCCCAAUGCGCCCCCAGGGAUGAGUGAUCCAAUCCCAGUCACAAGCUGUAAUGUGCUGCAGAGAAGUACAGAUACUUGGAGCUCUUCCAGCUGAGGAUGGAAGGGGGACAAGAUGUGAGAAUCCAAGCACCUGGUGCCUCAUGCAAUGACAUCAUCAGCAGGUACAACCGUCCCGGGAGGUUGGCCUCCCAGGGGAGCACUGGGAAGACAAACAGAAGGUAGGAGGGCCCCAUGAGGAUCGGAGAGCUGAGCUGGAUGUUCCUGAGAGAUAGAAGCUCUGUGUCCUCUGUCCCAACCCUAAGACCAACAGCCUCUGACCCAGAUGCUGGCCAUUGGAAUCUCUUCUUUGGGAAAAAAAUAAGGUCACAGAGUAAUCUCGCCAGAGUCGGAGGAUGUGCAUCUGGAAGGAGAACACAACCCCAGGAUGGUGAGAGGAGUCCUCUUGUUAACCCAUUCACAUUCCUGGACAAAACUGAAGACGUAAGACAGAUGGGAAUAAAGGGGACUGAACGUUUUCUGGUAAAAUUGGUGAUAAUCUGUGAUGCCUGGGUGGCUCAGUGGUUGAGUGUCUGCCUUUGGCUCAGGUCGUGAUCCUGGGGUUGGGCCUGCUUCUCCCUCUGCCUGUGUCUCUGCCUCUCUCUGUGUCUCGCAUGAGUAAAUAAAUAAAAUCUUAAAAAAUAAUAAAAUUGGUGAUGAUCUGACCACAA